GAUGAACGCUGGAAGAAUGCUUAACACAUGCAAGUCGAUUCAAAGUUCCUUUCGGGGAACGGAGGAUGGCGGACGGGUGAGUAACGCGUAAGGAACUUGCCUUUUGGCCUGGGACAACUGUUGGAAACGACAGCUAAUACCGGAUAUUAUGAGAUUCUCGCAUGGGAAACUUAUGAAAGCUAUAUGCGCCAAAAGAGAGCCUUGCGUUCCAUUAGCUAGUUGGUGGGGUAACGGCCCACCAAGGCGACGAUGGAUAGCCGGCCUGAGAGGGUGAACGGCCACAAGGGGACUGAGACACGGCCCUUACUCCUACGGGAGGCAGCAGUGGGGAAUAUUGGACAAUGGGCCACAAGCCUGAUCCAGCAAUUCUGUGUGCACGAUGAAGGUUUUCGGAUCGUAAAGUGCUUUCAGUUGGGAAGAAGAAAGUGACGGUACCAACAGAAGAAGCGACGGCUAAAUACGUGCCAGCAGCCGCGGUAAUACGUAUGUCGCAAGCGUUAUCCGGAUUUAUUGGGCGUAAAGCGCGUCUAGGCGGAAAAGAAAGUCUGAUGUUAAAAUGCGGGGCUCAACUCCGUAUUGCGUUGGAAACUGCUUUUCUAGAGUACUGGAGAGGUGGGCGGAACUACAAGUGUAGAGGUGAAAUUCGUAGAUAUUUGUAGGAAUGCCGAUGGAGAAGUCAGCUCACUGGACAGAUACUGACGCUAAAGCGCGAAAGCGUGGGGAGCAAACAGG
rnacentral:rRNA from 1 species